rnacentral:rRNA from 2 species
GCAACAGCUCAGAUUUGGAAUCUGGCCCCCCCCGGGGGCCCGAGUUGUAAUCUGGAGAGGAUGCUUCUGGCGCGGCGCCCGGCGAGUUCCCUGGAACGGGACGCCGGAGAGGGUGAGAGCCCCGUACUCCGGGCCGCCUAGCCUCUGCGAAGCUCCUUCGACGAGUCGAGUAGUUUGGGAAUGCUGCUCUAAACGGGAGGUAAAUUUCUUCUAAAGCUAAAUACCGGCCAGAGACCGAUAGCGCACAAGUAGAGUGAUCGAAAGAUGAAAAGCACUUUGAAAAGAGGGUCAAACAGUACGUGAAAUUGUUGAAAGGGAAGCGCCCGUGGCCAGACUUGCGCCCCGCGGCUCACCCGGCGGACCCCGCCGGGGCACGCCGCGGGGCGCAGGCCAGCAUCGGCUUCCCCAGGGGGACAAGGACGGCGGGAACGUGGCUCCUCCGGGAGUGUUAUAGCCCGCCGCGCCAUGCCCCUGGGGGGGCCGAGGACCGCGCUUCGG